GAGAGUUUGAUUCUGGCGUCAGGAUGAACGCUAGCGACAGGCUUAACACAUGCAAGUCGAGGGGCAGCAUAGAAGUAGCAAUACUCGGUGGCGACCGGCGCACGGGUGAGUAACGCGUAUGCAACCUACCGUAUCGAGAGGGGAAUAACCCGGCGAAAGUCGGACUAAUACCGCAUAAAACAGGGGCACCGCAUGGUGAUAUUUGUUAAAGAAAUUCGCUGAUAGAUGGGCAUGCGUUCCAUUAGGUAGUUGGUGAGGUAACGGCUCACCAAGCCGACGAUGGAUAGGGGAACUGAGAGGUUGGUCCCCCACACUGGUACUGAGACACGGACCAGACUCCUACGGGAGGCAGCAGUGAGGAAUAUUGGUCAAUGGGCGGGAGCCUGAACCAGCCAAGUCGCGUGAAGGAAAGAAGGAUCUAUGGUUCGUAAACUUCUUUUGCAGGGGAAUAAAGUGCAGGACGUGUCCUGUUUUGUAUGCACCCUGAGAAUAAGGAUCGGCUAACUCCGUGCCAGCCGCAGC
rnacentral:rRNA from 1 species